UCCUUGGCCUUAAAGGGCUGGUCUGCCCUGAA
rnacentral:piRNA from 1 species